GAUCUAGCUUGCUAGAUUGAUGGCGAGUGGCGAACGGGUGAGUAAUACAUCGGAACGUGCCCCUGUAGUGGGGGAUAACUAGUCGAAAGAUUAGCUAAUACCGCAUACGACCUGAGGGUGAAAGUGGGGGACCGCAAGGCCUCAUGCUAUAGGAGCGGCCGAUGUCUGAUUAGCUAGUUGGUGAGGUAAAGGCUCACCAAGGCGACGAUCAGUAGCUGGUCUGAGAGGACGAUCAGCCACACUGGGACUGAGACACGGCCCAGACUCCUACGGGAGGCAGCAGUGGGGAAUAUGGGACAAUGGGCGAAAGCCUGAUCCAGCAAUGACGCGUGUGUGAAGAAAGCCUACGGGUUGUAAAGCACUUUUGUCCGGUAAGAAAUCGGCUUUGGUUAAUACCAUGAGGUCGAUGACGGUACCGGAAGAAUAUAGGACCGGCUAACUACGUGCCAGCAGCCGCGGUAAUACGUAGGGUCCAAGCGUUAAUCGGAAUUACUGGGCGUAAAGCGUGCGCAGGCGGUUGUGCAAGACCGAUGUGAAAUCCCCGAGCUUAACUUGGGAAUUGCAUUGGUGACUGCACGGCUAGAGUGUGUCAGAGGGGGGUAGAAUUCCACGUGUAGCAGUGAAAUGCGUAGAGAUGUGGAGGAAUACCGAUGGCGAAGG
rnacentral:rRNA from 1 species